CAAACUUCUAAGGAUGAUUGUCAUCAUCCUUAGGAAACUGCAUUGUUGUAGGAUCAGUCACAUCCUUAAAAAGGACUAUGCCUGUUUAUAAGCCCAGUUGUUCUUCCCUGUGAAAUACAGUAAGGAUAUUAGUACAAGGAGAAUAGAGAUUUAUGAUAAGUGAUGCUCAAUGAAGGAUAAAUUAAGGACAUACUGAGAGUAGGUAAGGAAAUUGCCAACUCAGAACCCAGCAGGCAUUAAAUAAUAGAUGAGGAAUCAAUAUAGCAACAGUUUUUUAUCAUACUGUAUUUUUAUACCCAUGUGAAAUGCGUUUUCUAUCUAUGGAUAGAUUGUGUAAGGGUACAGUUGUGAGGAUAACAGGAACAUGACAGGUUAUUUAAAAUCAUACUUAAAAUGGUGCUUUACCUGAUAAAAGUGAUUCUAAACCAUAGGAAAAUAAUGGAAGACACAGAAGAGCAGCAGAGGUGGGUAGAAGACUACUACAGAUGCCAGAUCGCCACUUCUGAAAGAAAGGCUCACGACAACUAGCCUUGCAGAGGGAGAUGGAAGAAGAGAAGGCUGCCUACAAGCAGCACAGGU